GAGAGAUUCAUCGUCAUUCCGCGGCGUACGGGCUGCGCGCUUCGAUGUCGUCGGCCUCGGUCGUCUGGCACGACGCGCGUCCGUCGACGUCCGCGGACGGCGUGCACUUCUCUCUUAGUAAAUGCAUCGCGACCCGUUCGAUGUCGGUGUAAGCGCCGUUCGGGAGCCCCACGGUCCCUUCACGGGGUCUGUGGGACCGCGACGGUGGCCGACCGGCCGUCGGACGGUAGUUCUGACGAAACGCGCACGCGUUUACAACGCGUCCGGCCCGACGCAAGUCAACGUCGUAUCCAGCGUACCGCCUCAGUGCGGACGCAGGUGCGGCGCGUCUGCUGUUGCUGCCGUGCAGUCUCGGAC
rnacentral:rRNA from 1 species